UACGAGGGGUGCAAGCGUUGUUCGGAAUUACUGGGCGUAAAGGGCCAGUAGGCGGCCAACUAAGUCCGACGUGAAAUCCCCAGGCUUAACCUGGGAACUGCGUCGGAUACUGGAUGGCUUGAAUUCGGGAGAGGGAUGCAGAAUUCCUGGUGUAGCGGUGAAAUGCGUAGAGAUCAGGAAGAACACCGGUGGCGAAGGCGCUCUGCUAGGCCGCAACUGACACUGAGGGACGAAAGCUAGGGGAGCGAAUGGG
rnacentral:rRNA from 1 species